AGAGUUUGAUCCUGGCUCAGGAUGAACGCUAGCGGCAGGCCUAAUACAUGCAAGUCGGACGGUAAGCGCCCCUUCGGGGGUGCGAGAGUGGCGCACGGGUGCGUAACGCGUAUGCAACCAGCCCCGUCCAGGCGGAUAGCCGGUGGAAACGCCGGAUAAUACGCCACGGUCCCGGAGGGGGGCAUCCCUUUCCGGGUGAAGCGGAGACGCGGGACGGGACGGGCAUGCGUGCCAUUAGCUGGUUGGCGGGGCGACGGCCCACCAAGGCGACGAUGGCUAGGGGAUCUGAGAGGACGGUCCCCCACACUGGAACUGAGACACGGUCCAAACUCCUACGGGAGGCAGCAGUGAGGAAUAUUGGUCAAUGGCCGCGAGGCUGAACCAGCCAAGUAGCGUGCAGGAUGACGGCCCUAUGGGUUGUAAACUGCUUUUAUGCGGGGAUAAAGUGCGGCACGUGUGCCGUUUUGCAGGUACCGCAUGAAUAAGGACCGGCUAAUUCCGUGCCAGCAGCCGCGGUAAUACGGAAGGUCCGGGCGUUAUCCGGAUUUAUUGGGUUUAAAGGGAGCGCAGGCGGAGAGCUAAGCGUGACGUGAAAUGUAGCCGCCCAACGGCUGACGUGCGUCGCGAACUGGUUUUCUUGAGUGGGUACGACGUCGGCGGAACUCGUGGUGUAGCGGUGAAAUGCUUAGAUAUCACGAGGAACCCCGAUUGCGAAGGCAGCCGACGAGUCCCUUACUGACGCUAAAGCUCGAAGGCGCGGGUAUCGAACAGGAUUAGAUACCCUGGUAGUCCGCACGGUAAACGAUGGAUGCCCGCUGUUGGCGACACACUGUCAGCGGCCAAGCGAAAGCGUUAAGCAUCCCACCUGGGGAGUACGCCGGCAACGGUGAAACUCAAAGGAAUUGACGGGGGCCCGCACAAGCGGAGGAACAUGUGGUUUAAUUCGAUGAUACGCGAGGAACCUUACCCGGGCUUGAACUGCCGGCGAACGAUUCAGAGAUGAUGAGGCCCUUCGGGGCGCCGGUGGAGGUGCUGCAUGGUUGUCGUCAGCUCGUGCCGUGAGGUGUCGGCUUAAGUGCCAUAACGAGCGCAACCCCUCUCCGUAGUUGCCAUCGGGUUAAGCCGGGCACUCUGCGGACACUGCCACCGCAAGGUGUGAGGAAGGUGGGGAUGACGUCAAAUCAGCACGGCCCUUACGUCCGGGGCUACACACGUGUUACAAUGGGGAGUACAGAGAGCCGGUCUGCGGCAACGCCGAUCCAAUCCUUAAAGCUCUCCUCAGUUCGGAUUGGGGUCUGCAACCCGACCCCAUGAAGCUGGAUUCGCUAGUAAUCGCGCAUCAGCCAUGGCGCGGUGAAUACGUUCCCGGGCCUUGCACACACCGCCCGUCAAG
rnacentral:rRNA from 1 species